AAUUGCACUGCAGCCUGGGCGAUAGAGUGAGACUUCACCUGGAAAAAAAAAAAAAAAAGGACUUUAUGAAUUUUAAGGCCUUCAUUCUUUUCUUUAUAACAUAAUUUCCACAUGUAUUUACUUUGUACAGGCCACUAUAGCUACCAUAUUAAGACCAGUAUUAUCAGCUUAAUUCUGAUUAUAAAAAUAUUAUCUCAGAAUGUCAUCCCAAAGGAAACCCUUGAAAGAUAGGACUAUUUAAAAUACCAGGUAGUAUAUGCAGAACCAGAGGCAGAAUACCAUCUGCAGAUCUCAAAUUUUAAGGAAAAAACUUUGAAAGAAAUGGCAUGACAAACCCAUAGCCUCAUAAAGUUGAAUUUAGAAUUCAACAAUAGAAUUGCAGCUAUCUUCUUCAAUUAACUUUGCAAGUUAUAACUGUGAGAUUUUUUUCUCUUAAAACUGAUUUCCUGGGGAGUUAACUUCUUGAAACAUAUCACUAAGGAGAAGCAAAGAAAAGAAAGCCAAAUGAGCUAUUUGUAGUAUCAACAAAGACAUUUGAAAGAGAAGGCAAUUCUCCAUUUCCCAUGAGAGUGUGUAAGAAGUCUACCAUUGGCAUCAUCUCCAAUCACAGCCUACAGCAUCCAUCAGGACACUCUUAGGACACCAAUUCUGAUCUGAACAAACUUGGACAGCCUAACAGUUUUGGAGCUUUUGCAAACAGAAGUUUCAGUUGAAUUGCAGUGAGUGGGUCUACAUAUUCAAGAAAGGAAGGCACAGCGGAAAAAAGGAAGAGAAGAAAGGUAAAUGGACUUUAAACACCAUACCAUUUUCUACUUCAAAAGAAAAAAUACGAACAUUUUUUAAACACCCCAGAACUACAUACUGUUUAAAGGAAGAAACUGUAGCCAAAAAAUAAAGAUUCUAUACGGUGAGAUAACCACCUAAGAUGUUCUACUAUAUAAAAUCUCAUUUAGAAAAUCUUUAAUAAUGGUUUAUUACUUAUUUCAAUAUAUUUAUCUACAGUGUUCCACCCUUUCAUUCACAUGUAUUAUUUUUAUGACAUUUGUAUACUAUAGUUAGAAAACUGGAGAUAGUGUGAAGAAAUCUUAGAAUUGUGUCUUUUGAAAACACUACAACUGCUGCUAUUAAAAUGUAUUGAUUCCUACCUCACUUUCAAAUUUGUAGAAAUGAGCUAGAGUAUAUAAAUUGUGUUGUUAAAAAUAAAAUUAGUAUAUAUCUGUCUCUCUGACAUACAAAUUAGUAACUAAGCCAUAGAGAUAAUGGGAAAACACAUGACUUUCUCUUUGACAAGGAUAUUUGAUAAAUCCAUCUAAUUAAAGCAUUCUUUAAAAAGAAUUGAGAAGAAUUCUGUCUACUUGGGCAUAUGUUUUUAAAUUUCCAUAAUAAAAAUAUUUUUAAAACACACUAUUGUAGUUGGCACUAGCGAAUUUCUGCUUAUCCUUGUAUAUUGCCUCAUAUAAUUAUCAUUUACAAUAUGAAAGAGGUCAUCAGUGAAAACAGGGCAAGAAAAAUUUAAAGUUUAAGAUGAGGGAAUAUUAAUGGAUGUGUAACAAGUUUAGAAAGUUCUUGAGCUGCCUUAAAACUAAUAUAUAAACUAUAUGUAUCUUUAAGAGAGAAAGGAAAUAUGUAUAUCCUCUCCUUCAUGGAAGUAGGAAGGAAGAGAGUCCAUAAAGUACUUAAGUGAAGUCCAGCUUUAUAUAUAUACAGAUUAGGUUAUCAUCAUAAUGUUCUAAAUUUUCUUUCCUAUGUUCUAGAGAAUUUACAAAUGAAAUAGAUUAAUUAGAGAUAUAGCUAGUUAGAGCCCAAAUAAAUGAUGGCACAUUAUAAUAUAUGUUAUAAUGUCAUAUUAUAAUGGGAUAGCAUGAAAAUGACAUAGCUCACCUGUAUUUAUACUUACAGUUCCAGCUGCUGUUUGAAUGUCUUUUUGUGAUCUCAAACUCAAUGUGUCCAGCUCUGCUUUCUUAAUACUUCUGUCAAUGGUAAUGUUCUUAAAGUGUCUCUGCAUAGAAAUCUUCUAGUUAUCUUUUACUCUUUCUUGUUUUUCAUCUUUGACAUUUAGUGUGUCAUUAAAUGUUGUCAUAUUUGUUAUUUCUGCUUUUGAAUUGUCUCCUAAUCCUUACUUCUGAUACAUAAAUGAGCUUUGUAGCCACAUCUACUUUAACAUCCUGGCUUUGGCAAAAAAAAAAAAAAAAAAAAAAAAAAAAAAAAAAUGAAA